AAGUCGUAACAAGGUUUUCGUAGGUGAACCUGCGGAAGGAUCAUUAGUGAAUUCUGGGAGUCCCUCUUCAUCAGAGAAGGCCCAAUCCACUAUUUCACACACCCUUGUGCAAUUGUCCCCUUUUUAAUAUAACCCUUGUGCAUUUGAAACAAGUUGAUCAAAGAAAGAAAAACUUUCAGCAAUGGAUCUCUUGGCUCUC
rnacentral:misc_RNA from 1 species